UACGUAGGGGGCAAGCGUUGUCCGGAAUUAUUGGGCGUAAAGAGCGUGUAGGCGGCUCGAUAAGUCCGCUGUGAAAGUCCAGGGCUCAACCCUGGGAUGCCGGUGGAUACUGUCGGGCUCGAGUCCGGAAGAGGCGAGUGGAAUUCCUGGUGUAGCGGUGAAAUGCGCAGAUAUCAGGAGGAACACCAAUGGCGAAGGCAGCUCGCUGGGACGUGACUGACGCUGAGACGCGAAAGCGUGGGGAGCAAACAGG
rnacentral:rRNA from 1 species